CAUUGAAUUUGAAAAAAUGGCGGGAGAGGUGAUGGAGUUGAGAAUGGAGUUACAGUCACAUUUAUCAAAAUUUCACGAUGACAGCCAUCAAAACAACUUGAUUAACUCAUCUCAACAAGAAAUCAACGCACUGCUGAAAAGACUCUUAGAAUAUCUUGAGAAUACACAUGAUGUGGAGAAAUCUUUGACUGAACUGCCCGACAUUGGACAGUUUUUGGGAAGAUUACUAGGAAAUCUUGCUGUGCGAGGAAAUAAGUUGAUAUAUCAAUCUGCAAUGAUGUGUGUGAUGGCUUUGUAUCAAGCAGAUCCUUCAUCACGCCUGGAACAGAAAGCUAAGGAUUGGGCACUGGCGCAGUUACAAAGUUCGCUGAAAAAAAAGACAAAAGAUGCCUAUAAUAUUUGUAGCCUGGGGAUCUCUCAUACCAAAAUGACUCGGAACUACAUUGGCAAGUUAUCAACAAGAGUGUUGCCGGCCCUGAAAGAGCGUAUUGGUGAAGUCCGUGUGAGAUGUGUAGGGACUGGGACCCACAUUCCUGGUGAGGUGUAUACAGAGGCCAGGGCCACUCUACAACAAAUUGUAGAUGUACUGCUGUCAGUGGCGCGGUCGGAUGAGUACCAGGAUGUGUGGACAGACAUUUUGUGGAUCUUGUCUGUCCUUGGACCUGAGGAGCCUUGGAUACAGAACAUUUAUCAGAUGAUCACAUCACAACAGAGCCCCAGUGAUGUACAUGGCAAAGGCGGUGUUCUAACAUUAAAUAAGGCAGGCUAUAAACUACUUUGGCGGAGUUACCUCCCCUCCUUGGAGGCCACAGUUCUUGAUAUUAUAGACCAGACCUACAGAGUCAAGCUGCCUUCUUCAGUGAAGCAGAUAUUGAGGGGGCAUUUUCUUCUGGAGGCUUGCAGUGAAGACCCCUCAUUGUUGCUGAUUGUUAGUCAAAUGCUACAAGAACUGACCAGGCAUGCAGGAGGAAACAGUGAACUUAACUGGGUUAUAGCAGUCUUUUACCAGCUAGUGCAAGAACAUGGCUUUCUGGCUGGAACUCAUAGCAUGACUUUAUCAGCUUUGUAUCCAGAACAUUUACAAGGGAUUUCAACAGCCCUUUCAAAGUUCCCAAUAGAUGGGGAUGUGGAUAUCUGUGCAGACAGUGUGUGUAGAAUUGUGACAUAUCUAGAAAACCACCAACAGAGAUUAGGCGGCAAGGUCACCUUACAAAAUGGCAUGCUGUUCCUCCGACACUGGUACCUGAGGACAAUCAGAAUCUGUCUUCAUUGUCAAAAGAAGUUCUUGGACGGAUGCUCUUCUUUGCUGUCUUGGAUAUUGGAACCAACUAAUAGGGAAAGUCAAAAGGAAAUAAAAGUGAAAUUGCACAACUGUAUUCAGGCUCUGCGAUCACUGAUGAGUAAAGUCAGCCUGGAGGUCACAGAUGUUUUAUAUGUGAUACAGAGAGAGCAUAACACAUCUGAUGUAACGAGGACAGCGAUUGGUCAUCUAGUGAUGAUGUUUCUCUUCAAGGCCACGGCUGGAAUGCAUGUCUUCAGGAACGUUCUACCAAAGGUGUCUCUGGCAGAGACUCCGUUUGAUAACCUGGUAUACAUGUUAAUGGCCCAAGAGGAGCUGGAGGUUAGGUUUGAAGACUGGUCACCGUGCCAACUGAAACAGUACUGUAAUAUAGUACAGGGGUACUUACAACAGGCAUCUUGUGACAAUCUGAACAGUCCAGAAAUCUUCAUGUCUACAACAAUUUUUUUACAAAAAUACAACACAAAGUUUCCAUGAAUAUUGUGGAAUUUCACUAAUGUUUACAUUCAAAUGAGUGAUAUUCUUGUACAAUUUGGACCCGUGACUGUGAGAAAUGUGUCAAAGACUAGUGCCCAGAGAACAAUGGUCUAGGGAUCGAUCCUGAGACAGUGUGGAAAAAUUCAGCUACCUGGUACAAGGGCCUAGAAUAUACUUACAUGUUACGGCUACCUAAACCUCGACCCUGUACGUAAUGCAACACCUAUUAUCCAAAAGUGUGAGGGAGGAGGUUACUCGGCCUGAAUCAAAAUGGCAGGUCAAGGCAUAUAAUUCUGGCUUGUAUUCCAGAUUUCUGAAAUCUGAUGAAAAUCGAGGACUCCGAAGUGACCAUAUUGACCAUGUCAUUAAAAUUAUGCCACAAUCAUCGCUAAACCUAAAAUGUCCUGUACCAGCAGAAGUAGAAGAAACUUCAGCCGUGAUUCUGAUAGAAAGUGCAAAAGAUUUAGGGAGAAAUGAUAACAUUGGCCAUGCCUUAUUGGUAACGGUUCACAAGAGAGCACCGGAAGACUACUACGUGGAGUUGUUUGACAGUACGAACAAACAAAUUU
rnacentral:misc_RNA from 1 species